GCCAGCGCCCUGGAGGGGCCCCCCACCAGCAGCAGCCCCCGGAUGAUGACGGCGAGGAACCCGGAGAGCAUGACAAAGACCUGGAAGACGUCGGUCCAGAUGACAGCCUUCAUCCCGCCCUGCACCAGGGGGAGCACGCCAUCCCGCGGGGCCGUGUUUGCUUUGGAGCCAUGGAAAAAGCACGUGCACGAGAACAAGGGGGCUCUUAGGGGCUGAGCACAGCGGGGACCCCCAUCCCCACACCCCCCCCCAAGGGACUCACCGUAGCCACCACGUAUUGCAGCGUCCCGCAGAGCCGCACGCUGCGUCCGAAGCGCCUCUCCAGUCCCCCGUGCCCACCUCGUAGGUGCUGGUGAGCCCCAGGCGGUAGAAGACGGGCAAGAAGAGGUACGCAGUGAGCAGCGUGUUGAGCAGCUGCCCCAGGCACAUCCAGAGGAACUUGGAGCCGUAGCGGUACGCCUCUGCCGGCACCCCCAGCACCUGGAUGGCCGACAUGAAGCUGGCCGACAGCGAGAGCCCCACCGGCACUGCUGCCAUGCGCCGACCGCCCAUGAAGAAGUCCUCCGAGGUCUUCUGGCCACCUUUGGACAGCCCAUGGAACAGCCCGAUGCCCGUGGAGAUGAGCAGCAUCAGGCCAAACACGCCGUAAUCCCAGAGGCUGAAGGGCGCAGCAGUCCCAAUGUGUCCGGGGGCAGCGGCACUGCAGCAAGAGGGAGCACCGGGUGGUGAUGGAGGCGCAAGGUGCGGAUGAGAGAGCAUGGAGAGGAGCAUCACCGCAUCGCCAUCCCUGCGCCCAUCCCAGUGGAAGGGUGCAAAGGAGCAGCCCCAGAGAGCACCCCCAAACAGCCCCAGAUACCCCAAAUACCUC